UACAGAGGGUGCAAGCGUUGUUCGGAAUUAUUGGGCGUAAAGCGCGUGUAGGCGGCUUUGCAAGUCGGGUGUGAAAGCCCUCGGCUCAACCGAGGAAGUGCGCCCGAAACUGCAGAGCUUGAGUACCGGAGAGGGUGGCGGAAUUCCCCAAGUAGAGGUGAAAUUCGUAGAUAUGGGGAGGAACACCGGUGGCGAAGGCGGCCCCCUGGACGGAUACUGACGCUGAGACGCGAAAGCGUGGGUAGCAAACCGG
rnacentral:rRNA from 1 species